rnacentral:tRNA from 1 species
UCCCUUCUGGCUCAGCUGGUAAAGAAUCCACCUGAAAUGCGGGAGACCUGGGUUCGAAUCCUGGGUUGGGAA